rnacentral:lncRNA from 1 species
AAAAUUGGGCAAAUUCCGGAACCCUGGAGCUGAGCCCGGUUUAAUGGGACAGAAAUGAUUUGGGGACAUCGUUGGGACAUCAUUGGGACAUCGUUGGGACAUCGUUGGGACAUCAUUGGGGACAUCGUUGGGACAUCAUUGGGGACAUUGUUGGGGACAUCGUUGGGACAUCGUUGGGACAUUGUUGGGGACAUCGUUGGGACAUCGUUGGGGACAUCGUUGGGGACAUCGUUGGGGACAUCAUUGGGACAUUGUUGGGACAUCGUUGGGACAUCGUUGGGACAUCAUUGGGGACAUCGUUGGGGACAUUGUUGGGGACAUCGUUGGGGACAUCGUUGGGGACAUCAUUGGGCCCCACGUUCAGCAAUAAUCAGAGAAAUCCUCGUCAACGUAAUUGGCGGGAAACCAACCGACCUGGGGACAGACGGACACGGUCAGGGGACACUGUGGGGACAUCUGGGGGGACAGGGGGACAUGGGGGAGGAAGGGGACAGGCUCAGGGGUGUCCCCAAUGUCCCCAAUAUCCCCAGUGUUCCCCAUGUCCCCAAUGUCCCCAAUGUCCCCAAUGUCCCCAAUGUCCCCAAUGUCCCCAGUGUCCCCAAUGUCCCCCAAUGUCCCCAAUGUCCCCCAGUGUCCCCAUUGUCCCCAAUGUCUCCAAUGUCCCCAAUGUCCCCAUUGUCCUCAGUGUCCCCAAUGUCCCCUAAUGUCCCCAUUGUCCCCAUUGUCCCCAAUGUCCCCA